rnacentral:rRNA from 1 species
UACGUAGGGUGCAAGCGUUGUCCGGAAUUAUUGGGCGUAAAGAGCUCGUAGGCGGUCUGUCGCGUCGGCUGUGAAAUCCCGGAGCUCAACUCCGGGUCUGCAGUCGAUACGGGCAAACUGGAGUACUGCAGGGGAGACUGGAAUUCCUGGUGUAGCGGUGAAAUGCGCAGAUAUCAGGAGGAACACCGGUGGCGAAGGCGGGUCUCUGGGCAUUAACUGACGCUGAGGAGCGAAAGCAUGGGGAGCGAACAGG